AUGGGCGUGUGUGCAUGUACGUGUGUGUGCAUGUGCAUGCGUGUGUGUGUGCAUGUGUGUACAUUCACGUGCAUGUGCGUGUGUGUGCAUGUGUGUGUGCAUGCGUGUAUGUACGUGUGUGCAUGUGCAUGCGUGUGUGUGCAUGUGUGUGUGCAUGGACGUGUGUGUUUCUGCCCUCCCUCCCCCCCCCCCCGCCCCCAGCAGAACAGGACUUGGAAGAAGCGGGCGCUGCUCUUGAGGAAGAAAAUCACUACUUCUGCAUUCUCUGAUCAGGGAUUGUAGUUAAUUAGUAAUUACACAAAAUGAUAUGCCGAAGUCCUAUAAUUACAAACUUAACCUUUUAUUUAAGGAGGAGAAUUGGUAGUUUUAUUCUUCGUCUGUAGCCUUUCCAGCAUCCAAUUAUGUCUUUGGUGAAAGAAAGAAAAAGAAAGAAAGAAAGAAAGAAAAGAAGGAUCCUUAAGAACAAAUCUGGUUUUGUUCGUGGCACUGUUAGAAUUUGUAACUGAGGUUUAGUGAUUCUCUGUUUUUUAUUCAUUUAUUUUCAUAGAGCUGCUGUUUUGUAUUACCAUUGUAUUUCGGUGGAGCCAUAAACCUCGGCAAGCUACUCGGUCCAGACAUGAAGAGGUGGUUGCUAUUUCAUUCCUUGGAAAUGAAAUUUUUAAUUAAAGCAGAAUUAGCCUGAUAUUUUUAAGUCUCUUUGGAGUGGGGAUGAUUAUUCUGAUGAAACAAGCAUCUCUGAGACUCCAGAUUUCUUGGAUGUUGUAAUAUAUUUCUUUAUGUAUUAUUUGCAGAGCGGGCCCCUUCUUGAAUCACAUCCAGUUGUAUCAUGACUCCAUUAAAGACAAAUCAUACCACUGCACGAAUAACUGCGGAGCGGAUUAUCUCUUGCAGUCGAUACAAUGAACGAGCGUCCGGGUCCUCCAAAUGAGCAAAUAUUUGGUGUAUCAGAGACUUGUUAAAAGAGGCACGAUAUAAUUUCAGGCAGCUGAAAUACAUCUGGGAAUCAUUUUUCUGGUAUCUCUGUAAAUGUGAGGAGAACAGUUCCUGCUGUCUGCAUCCCUACAGCCCUGCUACCUCGCGGCCUCAGGGGCAGGGGAGAAGGACUCUGCUUUCCCAGCCUGCCCUGGUAUGUGGCAUUAGCUGAUUCAACAUCAUCCUGACAAACAUAAGCUGCUUCAAAUAAGAAAAAUAUAUUCUGUACAAGGGGGUUCAGCAGGGUCAUCAGGAAGAUUGCUUAGUGUAAGCGAUACAGUGAAAAUGCGGUUGCUCCUUGCAGGUUUUCAGCAUGACAUACUGCCUUCAGUCAGGUGCUCACUGUUGCAUGGUCUGCUGUACUUGGGACUGAACAGUGUUCUCACAAAUCUCCUGUUAUCAUUACAGCAAUAAUUCAUAAGCCAUACACUGUGUGCAGCAGCACACUGCAAGACCCCAGUCCUGUAGAAGUGCAAGGCUGGAAAUAACUGAGUGUAUGCUAGUAGCCUCAGAGAAGUUAAUGGUCUUCCUUGUGUGCCUGUGGGCAGGUAUGGAUUUACUGGAGCAGGGAACAGUGAUCUGUCCCCCCUGCAUUUCCCCUGCUCGGUGAGUGGCUGCUCCCGGCUGCGUGAUGGGGAGCAACUCACCUUCUUGGAUGUGUGCGGUCCUGUGCACAUCUGAGGCUUUGGGGUCCAGAGCAGAACUUUGGUUUAAUUAUUUUUUGGCACUUCAGCCACAUUAAAAUGCAGCUAUGACUGCAUUGGCCUGAUCAUCCCCAGGCUGUGGUGGAAACUCUGGAAAACGAUCUUUUCCCUCCUCAAUGACAUGCUGACCGUAAGGAAAGGGCAGGUAGCCUGCUCACCCCUACACAGAAAUCUGAGAGAUCCAUGGGAGCCUGGAGCCCUCGGCGUUGGGGUUUGUGCCUUCACACCAGCCAUAGUCCUGCAAAGGAAGUCUUGUUUCAUGUGGCAACAGGAAGGUGUCUGGGGGGAUCCACAACACGUGCCAUGAAUUAUAGUGUCACUUUGUUCGUGCACCAAGGAUUCAAUCCAGAGUAGGUCUGUACAGGAGAACUGGAAUAAAACAGUGGGUUGCUACUGGGAAUACGCACACUGAGGAGAACGGCCAUCCUUCAUAUGAAAAGAUAUGCUAGCAAUAGCGUAAAACCAAACCACCCCAUAGGGUGUUGCAUGGUUGGUGCUAAGUGAAGGUGCCUAAGUUUGCAGGGAAUGCAAGCUGGCCUUGGUAACUGUAAGUCCCUUCAUCACCAGUCCGGGAAAUGCUGUAACUCUUACUGUGUUUCCAUGUGAGGCCAUAAGUCUCUUCUGGUUUUUGCAAUGUCUCUUUAAGUUGGAUUUUUCCUGCAGCUGUGAGGAAGUCAGGAAACUGUGAACAAAAGUUGGGUGCCACGUGGAGGACGGGGAGGAAGUGUGAAGGGAAAGCUGACAUUACUGUCUCGGUUAAGCAACUUCAUGUAGUCAAAAAGAAUCUCAAGGGUGUGCUCUGCUUCCCCUAAGAACUGAUACAGGUCAGUCACCUGUUAUUUGCAUUAAUAUAUAUUUGCGUUAACAUUAUUAAGGAUGCACUGUAAAUAUACAUGCUAUGCAGAGUAUGGGGCUAGUAUUUCCAAAAACAUCUAAGCGUUAUCCUGGCCUAUUUUCUAAGGUCAGACUAGCUGAGGGACCUCAGGGAAAACUAUUCCUGAACCAUGUUUCUGACAGUGGUUUCUUCUGUUAUACGGAGCAGGCACUCAGCGUCAGUGGAGUUUCACCAUAUAUGAAGUUCGGUCUCAGAUUUCUCAUUUGUAAUGAUGAAACUUGCCAUCUGUAUGGAAGUAUUCCAAGGAGCAAUCUGUUCAUGGGUGCAGAGAACUGUAAAAUGUCAAGUGGUAUAAGACCCUCUAGCCUCCUUGUACCUGAAGCACUGGGAUUACUGAUGGACUCUGGGGUCUUGGAUCAAUGAAACGUUUGCCUCCAGCUCCUUUGGUGAAGAAUGAAGUGAGGAUACAGUCUACACUAUGCAACUUCAAUAAAGAAAGAAAAGUCUCAUGGGUAAAAAAGACAACAAAGUCCUCCUGCCCUCUCCCAUAAUCAUCUGAACAGUAGAAAACACGCGGAGAGGAUUGAUAAGUCACUGUUGAUUUUAACACAACUGUUUAAUGAUAUUCUGUUGUGAUUAGCAGUAUAAAAAUAUGGAUAGUUCAUCUCUGAAAAAGCUAAACAAAGGAAAAUACUUGCCUCUUUUGGAUGUGUUCUCCAUAACAAACACACUGGAUACAAUUCUUGCCCUUCUGAAAUCAACUGGAAUUUGCCACUGAUUUCAAUAAGGACAGGAUUUCCUCAUCUGUGCUAUGGAUUAGUCACUUUUCUUUGUCUGGUCACUUACUAACCAGUUUCCCCUGUUUGUGAGGCACUAGCACAUGUGAUACGAGCAAGGGUACAUUUUAUUUAAUAUUACAGUAUUGGAAGACAUCAGAAUAGCUAAAGGGAUGUUAGGAUCAGAACCUGAAAGUAGUUUAAUUUGUUCUCUAAAACCAAAUCCAUGUUCCAUUUGUGGUACUGUGCAUAUAUUUAGCAAGCUUGCAAAUGAGAUUGUGGUAGAGUAAAUCAUGUGUUGGAAUCUUUGCACAAUGUUUUUUCCUGCUCCUACCGAGUAAGUUGCUUCGAUUUUUUUCCAGAAGGAUAAAUGAAAAGAAUGUUUAUUAUAAAGUUUUGUUUUGUUUUGUUUUUUAAACUAAUGCAAGAUAACACUUUACUUGUGGAGGAAGAAGAACUUCUAUUUCUGUGUCACAUGGGGGAGCGAAUGCGGCUUCAGAAUAUAGCCCAGUAGUUUUGCAGCUGUGUGGGUACUUCCACUUUUUUACGUUUAUGUUCGGAAAUGAAAUAUCCUUUAGAAGCAGCAUACCCUCAUGUGGCACUUGACAUAAAUCCUUUAUGGUCAUUGGUAAACCGUGGAUAGACUGAUCUUGCCAAUAACUCAAGAUUUAUUUUCAGUAUACCUAGACUGGAGUAGUUUCUGAGGAGUUUUUCCCAUGAAAAUUGCAUCCGUUAGGACAAAGUGAUACAGUUCCUCCAAAAGUAUAUGUUUAUAAAGUUUUCCAGUGGAAAAAAAAGAGGAAUUUGAAGAUUUUUUUUCUCAUGUACAUUCAUGACUGUGUACAUUCGCCUUUGCAGAAGUACACAUGCAUAUUGGGAAAUCUGACAGUAGUGUUCCCCAAACUGUGUGUAUUUUCUGGAGGAGUAUAUUAAUAUUUGUCCUUAUUUGCAGUGGAUCAAAAAUGGCUUUAUGUGUUAAAAAUAAGGAAUAUGAUUAAUUAAACAGUUUAAAAUAUCAGAUUGCAUUGCAGAGUGUAGGAAAUAGGUUGGGGAGAAGAAAGAAGUGUUACUGAAAGGUUUGAUGUUCUUGCACAUUAGCAGAGGUGUUUUUCAUUGGGUAUUGAAAUCACCAGGGCAUCACUGCUGAUUUAUGUGAAGAGGAAGAUUGCUUGCACUUAACAUCAGUGGGUGAGCAGCUGAUCUGUAACAUUUAGGGUGUGCUCUGGAGGAUAACAUAUAUGGAAACAGAGGAGAUUAUAUGAGCCCGAAUGUGGAGGGUCUGAGAGGGAACAGGAGCCUGUUCUGAGUGGGCUCUUGAUCUCCGAAAGGUAACAAAACACAGCAGAAAACUCAACUUCUGUAGGAGGCCAAGCAGCAGGGAGCUAUACUGGGGGCACUCGGCGCCUUUCUCUCGGGCACAGGGGUUGUGGUGCUUGAUGAUGGAAGGGGAAUAAGUAAGGACAUGGCCAGUGAGCUUUGCUGGGCUGGUCAGUCGCGUGCAAUGACAGUGGACUGUGUUUUCCCUGUCCCUUAGGUGCUGCAAAAGUGAUCUGUUGUCGCACCCUCUAUGGCCUGCUCACACUUUAAAUGCAGCUUUCAUUUCUCAUCCCUAAUGAUGUCAUAAACUCUUGCCAUUUCCAUUAAGUAGCCUUUCCUCAUUCCCAUAUGUUUGAUCUUGACAGUGGUUCUUUUUUUUAUUUUUUUCCUGGAUAUUACCAUCUGAGAGGGGGUGGAACGUUUGACAGUGAAAUGGUCAAGUUAUUCUCCGACGCAGUUAGUGUUUUGCAAGUGGUAGACAGAUCUACAAACUGAGGAAAUGCAGUUUAACAGCACUUCCUUCAAAUUUUAAAUUACAUUAAAAUUGAUCAGUGCUGAUGUCUUUGAAUUUAUAUGGGAGCUAAUCUUGUUCUGCAUGCUGAAGUAUUGUUACAUUUUGCUUACAAGGCAAUCACUUCCAUGGAAUGAAAUGACACCACGAAAUGCAGUUUCUGUAUCUAUUUCAAAUAUAUAAUAUAAAUGAAUCUGUUUAUAAGCAUAGGUUCAGAUUUUCAUUAUGCUGAUCAAAAGUCAGCUUUCUUAGGCCUGGGCUAUUUUAGGACAUUCUUGGAUAGGGUAGAUAUGAAUAUGUCAUAUUCUAAGGUCAUAAUUUUUUCCUUGUGACAAAUAUUUUCACAAGGAAAAGUAUCUUUUUGUAAAAAAAACCAGAAGACAGGAAGGGAAGAUUGUUAAGUCUAGUCUAGUCUCAUUCUGUGCAAAGCUAGACCAUAAAUGUUGUUGUAUAAAUUGAUUAUACUUUGUGUUGCAACUUUCUAAAGGAUAGGGGUUUUUUGGCAUAUUUUUUUUCUUUCUCCAGGGACUUCUACUGGAAUACUUGUCCAGAACACCUUGGUUUUUUGUUAGGAUGGCUAGAAAUCUUCCAGUUUCUAGACAGAAUUUAUUUCCGGUUAUUUUAUUUCUAUUUCUUCUGAUACUGUCUUUUACUUCCAAUGACGGUGCCUGACAUUCUUCCCUUUCCCCUCUCAGCCUUCUUUUUGCUAAGCUAAAACGGCCAAACUCUUUUAGUCUCUUCCUUUGAGGCGGAUCUUCCCUCCAGCCAUUCUGGUGGGGUCAUCAGCCCCCUCCCAGUUUGGAUCCACCGUUCCCGAUGCUGAUUGAACAAAACGCAGUGCUCCAGAGAGGGUCCCACCCUUGCCUUGCAUGCUGACAUGAAUACUUUCCUACCCUUGCUAGAAAUACCAUGUGCCCUUUCUCCAGUUGCAAUAGAUGGUGUCCUGGUCUCUGCUGCAGGUACCCACCUCCCCUGAAAAUUUAACUUAAAGUGCAAGAGGCUGCAGUUCGCCCCUUUAGGCUUUGAUGAUACCCCUUUAUAAUCAAAGCAGGGAGGUCGGCUCUUCCCCAUGGCCAAAGACAUUUAUGCAGUUUCUAUCACUCAGUCUUCUACUGAACGCGCUGCCCAACUUUGUGUCAUUAAUUUUAUUACUGCCUUCCUAAUUUCUGUGGCUAGAUCAUUGGUGAUGAUAUUAAGUAAGAACGGUCCCAUGACUGACUACAGAUGAACUCUCUUCCUAACCUCUUUUAACCUAAUGUUUCCUUUUUAAAGUUACUCCUCAUGUUCUCUUCAAGGAAUCUGUUACCCGUCUGGCACCUCUUGUGCAAAUUGCUGGCAUUUUCAGCAGAGGUAAUAGUAUCCCAUGCUGGACUCUGUGAGAUGCUUUACUGAGAACCACAUGGACUAGAUCUAGAUUUUUUGUCUACAAAUUCAGGUGUCUUGUGGAAAGAAAGACUUAAGUUAGUUGGGCACAAUCUAAUUCUGGUAAAUCCAUACUGUGUUUUUCCCCAUUUUCCAUGCAUAUUCAAUUUAUAGAUCUUUCCUCCCAUAUUUAUUUUAAAAGGUUGUAUAUUAUUGAAGUGAGUAGUUCAAUGAACAGCUCUGCUUUUCUUCCUCAAAUACAAAAUAAUACUUCAUCCGUUCUCCUACAGCAUGUGGCCUUGUCUUAGGAGACAGUCUGUCUACCCCAGUGCAACUGUUUCACCUCCAUUUCAUUUUGACUAUUUUUAUUCUGUAUCCUCUUUCCCAUUAGCCAUCCUACCUUUGGCAGGUUAGUUAUCAUUUCUGUUGAAAAGUAAAUCAAGUAUUAAUUUAGUUAUAGAGUUAUACUGAGAGGAUCCUUAAUCCUGAUGUCAUAUGUAAUACAUAGAACCUUGCUUCUUUUCUUUUUACUUUUUUAAUACAUUUGAUGAGCCUCUGAAGGAAUUCCAAGCUCUUAAACUCUUCAGUUCUCUUAAUUUUUCAGAAUUUUAUCUUUUGCAAUGGAUAGCUUAAUUCUGUGUAUCAUUUCAUUUACUUUAAGGCGAAUCAGCCCAUGGUCAUCCAGGUCAGAUCGUAUUCACUUAGGGAAAAUAAACUCAAAACUGAACUGCAGCAUUGUGGGUUCACUGGCUACUCACCGAAGACAUUUACUAUCAUUCGUGUCCCGGAAUAACCAGGACCUGCAGCUAUUAGUUACAUUUGUUCUCUGUGUAUGGGAAACCUAAGUCUGCUCUAAUAAUACGCUGUCCUGACAUAUUUUUCUCCAUUGCAACAUUACCGAGCUGCCUCUAUCCAUCACUGCAUCUGGUGGCCCAGAGCAGACUCCAGCUCUACCACAGAAGAACCCUCCUUUUCUAGACUGACUUUGAUCCACACAGAUUUUGUUUUAUCCCUCUUUUCUCUUGAAGUCUAUUACAUCAUUAAUACGCAAUUCUACCACAGUGUCAUAAACAUUUAUUUUUCUUUACCUGAAUGAUUUAAAAUAUAUGCACAUACCUCUUCAAACCUGUGUUUUUCCCAUGAUUGCUAUUCCCUCAUGUCUCUGUUAUUCCUUGGAGAUCCAUUUUAUCAUGAUCUCUACAGUUUAAUAUUAGUCAUUUCAGUGCCAGUACAGCAUAGAGCCUCCUGAUAUGAGAAAAUAAAUCUGAUUUGCAUAUAAUGAGUGAUUCCUUACGUUUUUCAACUGCAGCUUCAUCUGCUUUUCUUAAGAAUAUUCCUGUGAAGAUGCUGAACAGCAGCUCAGGAGAUUCAGGUUCUGUCUCUUUCAAAAAUGUUUAAAACGUUUUUGGGCAGCUCAAUUUUUCUAUGCCUCUUUUCCCUGUAAAAUGGAGAUAAUAGUGCUUUGCUGUAUCAGAAGGGGGUAUACUUACUAGUGACUGGCCUGUGCUCAAGUAAUUUCAUGGUGACUACUGCAGAAUUAGAUAGUCUAUGGCCUGUGAUUGGAGGGUUGAAUCUGGAGAACACCAAUUAAUAGAUUUUUUUGGUGAGUAUCUUUGAUAGGAUUACAAUUAAGUACAUAAAAAUUGAGGAAAAUUUAAAAUAGAUCAACAUUUUUAUCAAUAAGCCAGCAGUCAGUAAUGAAUAACAUGAUCUAACAAGUAAAAGGAGAGAAAACACAAGAUUAUUCCCAAAGAUAAUUACAAAUCCAUUUGUGCAUUAUUUAGCUAAUUCUGACUGUGCCAUUUCUAAUGCUUUCUUCUAGUAUAUCCACAUGUAUUUUAUAUAUUCAGACUAAUUUUGCAUUUUCCAAGAACUGUUUUUCUAUGUGUGCCUUUUCUUCUAUUAUUGAAGCUUUUGCCCAGUAUGAGGAAAGUAUGCUCCAUGAUUUAAAUUUUAAGCUGAUAUUGAUGGAUGUAAAAGGGAAUCACUAACAUCUAGAGCAAAGGUUUUGUUAACAGUCUCUGUUAUGAGAUCCUACUUUCAGGCUAAGGUUUUCAUUAUUAUUUAUUACUUUAACAAGAAUGGCACACGUUUCUUAGCAUGCGGUUGAAGAAAACUGCAAUAGUUGGGACACAUUGCGAAUUCUCAAAACCUUGCUCUCACACUUCCAGGUUUAGGAUGUGAGAUUCGACAUGUUAAAAGGGGGUUGUCUGGAUAUUUCAAAUAUAUCUUUCGCUGUCAUAUAAAACUCACCCACGUUUCCCAGGUUAUAAUAUUAAAAUAAUAAGACUCUGGCUCAUAUAGCUGUAAUCUUUCUACAUUUGGAAUGGUGAAUGCAAUCUAUUCUCCAUAAUGUAAAAAUUAUUUAAAAAAUAGAGAAAAUACAAAACAGUAACGGAUGAUGAUAGAAGAAUAAGACAUACUGCAGAAAAAGAAACUAGAGGAACUCUGUGUUAAACAGAGGACUCAGGAGAUUUGCAUUAACAGACUAUAAAUAAUUGCAGAGGUAGUAGUGUAAAUGAAAGAAGGGAAUUAUCCGCAUUCUCAGAAGAUGGAAAGACGAGGUGCAAUGGCCUGAAGCUAAAGCAGGAAAAUCUCAAGUCAUCUGGAGACCGUUUGGAGUAGCUGGUGGGAGCAGUCGGGCGGCGAAGCAGAGGCCGUGCAGCAUCGCUGCGGGCGGGCGAGCGGAGGUGCUGGCGAGCGCCCGGCCAGCCGUGCUGCAAAGCCAAGCGGGACGGAUUAGGUGACACAGAUGGGCUUCUCCAGCUGCUAGUCAUGUCAAGAGCUUACGAAGGUCAGUCCGUUGCUCUGCGUCACCUUCAGGAAAUCCCACCUCCUUCCACAGUGGCCAGCUAUGGUCGUCUGACGGGAUAUUGUGCUGGAAUUCGUCUUGCAGCCAGCGAACCCACUUCAGUUAAAGGAGAGAUGGAGUAGGAAGUGUGACUUGUUCUGAAAUGUCACCUCUAGGCUGUGGUCAGAGCCUUGAAAAAGGCCUGGAAUGACCCUAUUCUGGUGCAUCGCUCCAUGUGGUGUUGUUCUAGUCAUUCAUGUAUCAGGUUAGUGAUACCAUCCUUAGUGCCACCAUCCUUUUUGACUCUCGCCACCAGCUAUAUACAGCUAUGGGGUUUAUCUAGGUUUUAUUUGGGUUAUUUGGGAAAAAAAAUCAGGGUCAUGGCACACUUGUGUGUCGCUUGGAUAUGGCAGAAACCCUCGUGGUGCCAGAACGUAACAAGGAAAAACAAAACAUUUCACAGGAAAAUCCCUGUAUCUCUUGUCCCCUCCUGCGAGGAAUUAGAAAAGUACUGUAGCUUGUCUAGGUCUUCAUUAGUGAAAGUAACUAAGAACUAGCCCUAUUUAGUCUAUGGCGUUUUUGCUAGCUAAUCGUUCCUGUGAUGGGAAGAGCUCAGGAAAUGUGUGUUUCGGUGCAUGUCGGUUCCCAGGGUGGUGCGUUAGCAGCAGCGAUGUUUAUGUUCAGUGCUCGUGCCAGGCUGGAGCACCUCGCUGUCAUCCUUGAUACUUCCCCCUUGUUCUCCGUGGUCGUUGUAUUGCUGUGAACGAGUAACAAGCAGUGAUGUUUUCUUGGUAUUAAUCUGAGAGUUAGCUGAGGGGUGGUGGAUGGGUCCAAGCAAGUGAAAAGGCCCGGUGAAAAACUGUGAAAUAGGAACAAGCGUGUUUAACUAUGAGUCAAGAGCAUGACUGGCUCUACUGCUGCACGCUGUUGCGCAGCUCCAUCGAGAAAGACCAGCUGCAGGGUUAACAUCAGAGCAAGAUCCAGGCUUUCGCCAGCGGGCUGCUCGCAGCUGUGGGGUCUCCUCGGUUUCUUACUUUAUUCUACAGGGAGAGAGCUCUCUGGUACCUACUGACAAACCGCGCUCCACAAGUAUCAAUAAUUUAAGCUUUGCGGCGUUUCUGUGGAAGAGCUUGUGCAGAGGAGCCCGAGGGACAGCCCACAGGACUGGUUCAGCAGGAAGGCAAUUGCCAUGUUAGGCUGUUCUGCUUGUUUACCUACUUCUUGCUGCCUCACUGCUCCUUGCAGUGCUGUUUUAUUUGUCUCCACUUCUGCAUGAGGCUGUUGCCUCAGAAGGUGGUCCCGGAGGCAAGGAUCCCCAGGAACUGAGACCUGGGCUUUCCUGUAAGUGCCCCAAGUCUUUCCGAACACCCUGAGACUGCUCGUGCUUGCCAGGCUCUCUGUUUCUGGGAGCAACCCCGCACGCUCAUCUGUGAAGGGAAGAAUGCUAAUUUUUUUCCUGUGCCAACUUGAAUGACACUUUAUAAUUGAACCUUUAAUCCAAAUUUUUCCCAAACUUGAGUUUCCAGUUUUUUAAGGAAGUGUUGGUAUGAGUGUUCAAUAUGUAGUUUCUGGCAUGCUUUUUCCAUUAGUUCAAUUUUAAUCCCACUGCUUUAAUAAAGUCAAUAUUUUAAUACGUAUGUGCUUAACAUCAGAGUCUAAAUUCUAUAUUUGGAUCUUAAGUAGAAGUGUCUUGCAGCUCGCUCUGAAAGUUACGGAGUUUUAUGUGCAUAACUCCAGGCACUCUGGUUUAAUAAAUGUGUGUCCUUUUUUUGCUUUCUGAGGGCUGGUAACUGCAAGUAGUAACAAUGCUUAAUUGAUUGUUGAAUAGCAGUUUGCCAAAGCAUGCUUGGCAUCUGUUUGAAGGUAGCUAGCUGUUGUGGUUCUGCUUUUAGUAUGGAUAAAAAUGAAGCAACAGAAGACUUUUCUUCCCAGGCUUCAGUUUUGGCCAGGGAUAUUGUAUUAUUUAGGUUUGAGUUAGCAGCUGGAGAAGUACUUAUAUGGUCACUUUGCUAACUGGUUGCACUCUUAUUUUAAAGUGUUUACCAAUAUUUCAGUCCAUUUAACAAACAUCAUCUACAAUAUCCAUAAAUUGGAUCAUUCUGUAGGUGUUGCAAACAUAAUGUUAUGUGUGUUGUAUAAGCUGGAAAUGAGUCAGCCCAAGCAAAAAGAACUGCUUCAAAAGAGAAAUAUUUGUAAAGGUAGGUACAGUGUAGCUGCUGUUUAGUAACCUAAAUUAUGAUGAUGUAAAUGGUUGGAAAAUUGUCUCAUCACUAUGACGCAAUGAACUCUUAUUUUUUAUUAUGAUGAUUUGUGUAGCUGUUUUAAUAAUAAUGAAUGCUGAUAACAGAAGGUAGGAUCAUAAAGCCUUCACCUAAUUUUUUUCUUCAGUUCCAGUGAGACCUUUAUCAUGCUUGGGGGCGGGCAAAGGCUGACUCUGACCUUGGCUUUAUAUGUUGGCAUCUGGCUAAGUGCAGCUGCAGGUAGGUUAUUUAAGAUAAACUUUUAUAUAUAAAAAGCCCCAAAACUGGGCUAGAAGGGCCCCUCUAGAGGUCUUCUGAUCCAGCUUCUUUCUCUGGGGAAGGCUCAGAUAUUCCUAUGCUGUUCCUGACGGAUGCUUGUCUAAUGUGUUUUUAAAGCCCUCCAGCGGUGGAGACUUCAGGCCUUUUUCUGCAACAGAAACACAUUGUUCGCUCUUUGCCGUUUGUAAUCCACAGUUCUCUCCUCCUCGUAUUUAAGAUGCAUUAAGCUUUAUUGGGAAGAGGUUAAUAACGUACUAAAGACACUAGAUUUGCCUUAAUAUUUGGACAAGCAUGGGAGGCUUUGGGUGUAGCUUUGCAAAUUUGAAUUACAUAGUUUUUAUUCUUGGUUAAACAAGCCAGAUGCUGCUUAGGGCCUGCUUAUCUUCAUGUGUGGAGCAAUUUUCAAGGACACUCAGCAGAGCCGAAAACUUCAGGUACAGCUGUUUUGUGAGGUAAAAGCAAUCCUGGGAGUGUACAGAGAUUCACCUUAUGCACUGAUCUGAAUGCGACCAGGCAAAAAUACCGUGCCAGAAGCCAAAGGCUCUGAGUCCUGCAAAUAAAACACUUGGUGCAAGCGCGGGCGACUGUGGUCCUUGCACGUGAAAGUCACCAUGUGGGAAGCAGGGUGAGGAAACCUGCCCGCGGCCGGGGAGAGGGCAGAGUGCUGUGUGGGUUGGCAGCCAGUGAUCCCUUCUGGAUCACCAGAAAGAUGCCCAAGGUUGUUGUAUUCGAUGUUAAUGUGAGAGGGAAACACUUAUCUCAGCACUUGCUGCUUUAAAGUGUAUGGUUUGUUUACACUCGCAUUCAUUAGGUGACUUGACAUAAAGCUAUAGCGUUCUCCUUCCACCUAAAUUCCACAAGUUGAAUCGUUAUCAGCAGUAGAAUUGCACUGGAAUGUACAUGGUAGCAGAACAAUAGCUCCAUUAUGACCUACUAACAUUCUAAUCUAAUUCAAGUUCAAAAAAAGACCUACAUAUUAACAUCUAGCACAGUAGGAUAGCUGAAUGCAUUUUUAUAAUAAUAGAAAAAAUGAUCUGUGACAGUUUUUAAAGGAAUUUGUGUUUCAGUAUUAUUUACUUUGCCAUUUCCAAAUGAUACAGUGUUUUAGUGUGUCUCAUUUGUACUGCUUUGCUUAGCCCUGUUUUACUUAUUUAUUUUGUUUAAAGGUGAAAUGAUCAAAAACCAUACAAUGUUGAGAACAGCUUCAUUACAGAAUACUACCCCGCUCUUGUUACUUGAAACACUGAAGACAAAUAGAAAAGCCUUAAUUUGCUCGUAAUGGCCUAGAUUAAGGAUAAUGGUGUAACCUCAGUGAUCACUAAUGACCUGUAUCACAAGCUGAAGAGCUCGCAGUUUUUAAUGUAUUUCUGAACAGGCCCCAGGGGGAGGUGGGAUGUUUUGUCACCUUUGUUUUGCAGGCCGUGGGGUCUCAAGGCACAAGAGCCUGCCCGCUGUCCUGGUAGGACUUCUGCAGCGGACCUAACCGUUGGAGAAGCUGAAGUUAGCGUCCUUCCUCUAGUAGUGAUGUAGAUAAAAGCCCAUAAAGAAUUGGUGCACUUUACUGCAUGGUCCAGAUUAGUACUGGCGUGUUAACAAUCCCACCAUCAUCUACCUUUUUGCUUAAUAGAGUGUGCUGCACUGGUAUAACCACAGUUAUAUAGCAUGAAUUUCCUUAACAUUAAAUACAGCAGAAUUAUAUUAAUCUUGUAAGAACCAUAAAGGAUAUGAGAAGCUUAUGUGAACAUUUAGGAGUGCUCUUAUCCUCUUGGAUGUGACAGGAAACCUUCCAUUUAUGCAGUGGGCUGUGGACAAUGUCCUUGCUGUCCUCAGGUUUCACACCGCUGCCAGUGGAGAUACCUCCUGUGGGCACACUUUCUAAGCCUUUUACAUGAGUGAGGAUAAAGGCACCCAGGGAGACUUUUAAAAGGUGAAGGUCAGGUUGCUCGUUUAACUUGCACAGCAAGCCACAUCGGUCCCUAAGUCACUUAGUUUAAAAAUGCUCCUUGUCUGUGCUAAUGAAAACCUGAAUGCUGGUCAUGGAGGCAGAUUUCAGCUGCAUGUACAGCGUGGCAGCUGCUGCCACCUUCCAUUCCCAGAGAGGGAAAAUACUGAUUGUUCCUCUUUUGCUAUUGGAUUCUGGGUAGCUGAGCUGUCUCCUUUACUUCAGGCAAACAGUAUUCACCCAUCAGCUUCCGCUGCUUAAUGAAAUCUUUUGAAAGUUUCUAAUUUCACUGGGCUUGUUGAUAUGCUUAAAUACAUUUAUUAUGUCAGCAGAGUUUUACGGCUGUUUAAAGACACGUGGUACCUGGUACCUUUUAAAAGAGUUUUUGUUUAACAAUAUCCAGUUCGUGAAUCACAGUUCAUAACACAAUUUUAAAUAAUCUGUUGUGAACAGUGAGAAAGUUGCAUGAUACAUCAAUGGCAAAUGAUACGGCAAUUUCCAAAAGAAAAAAGAAACUGCAUGUGACCAAAUGCAUAUGAAAUUAAAUAGGUCUUAGCACCGUACAUUAAAUUAGCUUCUCUUAACAUCCAGCACCCACUUGGCAUGCAGAUAUUUGCUGGACAGGCCAAAGUUACCAGAAAACCUGUUGAAAGUCAUGUAAGAUACGUGGUGUGCAUAUACCCAUCUGAAAUACCGCAUCUCAGUUUCUGCUUGGCUUAUACAACAGUGGGCCUAACUCUGCCCUUUCUUGCACUGCUCUUCAGAUUGCUGUGCACUGCUAUGAGUGCUCUCUCGCAUCUAACAGCUGCCAUACCUUGCUCUGGCCCUGCACUUUGCAUGGUCUACUACUUUUCUUGUAGAUUGUGUGGUUUUGCCUUUCCAUUUGCUAGUCCACACUCCUUUUGCUUUCUGUUUGCAUGACCUUACACGUCUUCAGAGAUAUGGAGCAUUAAGUAUCUGGCUUUGUCAAUAGUCUUAGAGGAGAGAGGGGGAGAGAUGGGGAGCAGAGAGAGACAUAAGCUGAAUUGUAAUUGUACAGAUGAAACAGUGCAAGUAAUAAAAAUCUCUUUGAAUUUGUGAAUA